rnacentral:rRNA from 1 species
CGUUAUAACCGGCGAUGUCCGAAUGGGGAAACCCGGUGCACUUCGGUGCAUCAUCGUUAGCUGAAUACAUAGGCUAACGAGGCGAACCGGGGGAACUGAAACAUCUAAGUACCCCGAGGAAAAGAAAUCAACCGAGAUUCCCCCAGUAGCGGCGAGCGAACGGGGAACAGCCCAGAGCCUGAAUCAGCUUGUGUGUCAGUGGAACGGUCUGGAAAGGCCGGCGAUACAGGGUGACAGCCCCGUACACGAAGGCACACAGGCUGUGAGCUCGAUGAGUAGGGCGGGACACGUGAUAUCCUGUCUGAAGAUGGGGGGACCAUCCUCCAAGGCUAAAUACUCCUGACUGACCGAUAGUGAACCAGUACCGUGAGGGAAAGGCGAAAAGAACCCCGGCGAGGGGAGUGAAACAGAACCUGAAACCGUGUACGUACAAGCAGUGGGAGCCUUCGUAAGAGGGUGACUGCGUACCUUUUGUAUAAUGGGUCAGCGACUUAUAUUCUGUAGCAAGGUUAACCGUAUAGGGGAGCCGAAGGGAAACCGAGUCUUAACCGGGCGUUAAGUUGCAGGGUAUAGACCCGAAACCCGGUGAUCUAGCCAUGGGCAGGUUGAAGGUUGGGUAACACUAACUGGAGGACCGAACCGACUAAUGUUGAAAAAUUAGCGGAUGACCUGUGGCUGGGGGUGAAAGGCCAAUCAAACCGGGAGAUAGCUGGUUCUCCCCGAAAGCUAUUUAGGUAGCGCCUCGUGAACUCAUCUCCGGGGGUAGAGCACUGUUUCGGCUAGGGGGCCAUCCCGGCUUACCAACCCGAUGCAAACUGCGAAUACCGGAGAAUGUUAUCACGGGAGACACACGGCGGGUGCUAACGUCCGUCGUGAAGAGGGAAACAACCCAGACCGCCAGCUAAGGUCCCAAAGUCAUGGUUAAGUGGGAAACGAUGUGGGAAGGCCCAGACAGCCAGGAUGUUGGCUUAGAAGCAGCCAUCAUUUAAAGAAAGCGUAAUAGCUCACUGGUCGAGUCGGCCUGCGCGGAAGAUGUAACGGGGCUAAACCAUGCACCGAAGCUGCGGCAGCGACACUAUGUGUUGUUGGGUAGGGGAGCGUUCUGUAAGCCUGUGAAGGUGUGCUGUGAGGCAUGCUGGAGGUAUCAGAAGUGCGAAUGCUGACAUAAGUAACGAUAAAGCGGGUGAAAAGCCCGCUCGCCGGAAGACCAAGGGUUCCUGUCCAACGUUAAUCGGGGCAGGGUGAGUCGACCCCUAAGGCGAGGCCGAAAGGCGUAGUCGAUGGGAAACAGGUUAAUAUUCCUGUACUUGGUGUUACUGCGAAGGGGGGACGGAGAAGGCUAUGUCGGCCGGGCGACGGUUGUCCCGGUUUAAGCGUGUAGGCUGACUUUCCAGGCAAAUCCGGAAGGUUAAGGCUGAGGCGUGAUGACGAGGCACCACGGUGCUGAAGUGACAAAUGCCCUGCUUCCAGGAAAAGCCUCUAAGCAUCAGGUAACAUCAAAUCGUACCCCAAACCGACACAGGUGGUCAGGUAGAGAAUACCAAGGCGCUUGAGAGAACUCGGGUGAAGGAACUAGGCAAAAUGGUGCCGUAACUUCGGGAGAAGGCACGCUGACAUGUAGGUGAAGCCCCUGCGGGUGGAGCUGAAGUCAGUCGAAGAUACCAGCUGGCUGCAACUGUUUAUUAAAAACACAGCACUGUGCAAACACGAAAGUGGACGUAUACGGUGUGACGCCUGCCCGGUGCCGGAAGGUUAAUUGAUGGGGUUAUCGCAAGAGAAGCUCCUGAUCGAAGCCCCGGUAAACGGCGGCCGUAACUAUAACGGUCCUAAGGUAGCGAAAUUCCUUGUCGGGUAAGUUCCGACCUGCACGAAUGGCGUAAUGAUGGCCAGGCUGUCUCCACCCGAGACUCAGUGAAAUUGAACUCGCUGUGAAGAUGCAGUGUACCCGCGGCAAGACGGAAAGACCCCGUGAACCUUUACUACAGCUUGACACUGAACAUUGAGCCUUGAUGUGUAGGAUAGGUGGGAGGCUUUGAAGCGUGGACGCCAGUCUGCGUGGAGCCGACCUUGAAAUACCACCCUUUAAUGUUUGAUGUUCUAACCUGGCGCCGUGAUCCGGCGUGGGGACAGUGUCUGGUGGGUAGUUUGACUGGGGCGGUCUCCUCCCAAAGUGUAACGGAGGAGCACGAAGGUCAGCUAAUCCUGGUCGGACAUCAGGAGGUUAGUGCAAUGGCAUAAGCUGGCUUGACUGCGAGAGUGACGGCUCGAGCAGGUGCGAAAGCAGGUCAUAGUGAUCCGGUGGUUCUGUAUGGAAGGGCCAUCGCUCAACGGAUAAAAGGUACUCCGGGGAUAACAGGCUGAUACCGCCCAAGAGUUCAUAUCGACGGCGGUGUUUGGCACCUCGAUGUCGGCUCAUCACAUCCUGGGGCUGAAGUAGGUCCCAAGGGUAUGGCUGUUCGCCAUUUAAAGUGGUACGCGAGCUGGGUUUAGAACGUCGUGAGACAGUUCGGUCCCUAUCUGCCGUGGGCGCUGGAGAAUUGAGGGGGGCUGCUCCCAGUACGAGAGGACCGGAGUGGACGCAUCACUGGUGUUCGGGUUGUCAUGCCAAUGGCACUGCCCGGUAGCUAAAUGCGGAAGAGAUAAGUGCUGAAAGCAUCUAAGCACGAAACUUGCCCCGAGAUGAGUUCUCCCUGAGACU